rnacentral:rRNA from 1 species
GACGAACGCUGGCGGCGUGCCUAAUACAUGCAAGUAGAACGCUGAAGAGAGGAGCUUGCUCUUCUUGGAUGAGUUGCGAACGGGUGAGUAACGCGUAGGUAACCUGCCUUGUAGCGGGGGAUAACUAUUGGAAACGAUAGCUAAUACCGCAUAACAAUGGCUGACACAUGUCGUUUAUUUGAAAGGGGCAAUUGCUCCACUACAAGAUGGACCUGCGUUGUAUUAGCUAGUAGGUGAGGUAAUGGCCCACCUAGGCGACGAUACAUAGCCGACCUGAGAGGGUGAUCGGCCACAAUGGGACUGAGACACGGCCCAGACUCCUACGGGGGGCAGCAGUAGGGAAUCUUCGGCAAUGGGGGCAACGCUGACCGAGCAACGCCGCGUGAGUGAAGGAGGUUUUCGGGUCGUAAAGCUCUGUUGUAAGUCAAGGACGGGGGUGAGAGUAGAAAGUGCACGCUGUGACGGUAGCUUACCAGAAAGGGACGGCUAACUACGUG